UGCAUUGUAGCUUAAUCGGAAAGAGCGUCUCCACAGAGAAGGUGAGGGUUCGAAUCCCUCCAUUGAAC
rnacentral:tRNA from 1 species